AGCGAACGCUGGCGGCAGGCUUAACACAUGCAAGUCGAGCGGGCAUCCUUGUGGUGUCAGCGGCAGACGGGUGAGUAACGCGUGGGAACGUGCCCUUCGGUUCGGAAUAACUCAGGGAAACUUGAGCUAAUACCGGAUACGUGCGAGAGCAGAAAGGUUUAUCUGCCGAAGGAUCGGCCCGCGUCUGAUUAGCUAGUUGGUGAGGUUAUGGCUCACCAAGGCGACGAUCAGUAGCUGGUCUGAGAGGAUGAUCAGCCACACUGGGACUGAGACACGGCCCAGACUCCUACGGGAGGCAGCAGUGGGGAAUAUUGGAAAAUGGGGGCAACCCUGAUCCAGCCAUGCCGCGUGAGUGAUGACGGCCUUAGGGUUGUAAAGCUCUUUUCUCCGGGACGAUAAUGACGGUACCGGAGGAAUAAGCCCCGGCUAACUUCGUG
rnacentral:rRNA from 1 species